CCCGCGGGUCCCUCAGGGUCUUCUGCGAGCCCACCCAGCCUGUCUGUUUGGAGUCAUCAUCCCAGAUGGUGGAGGUCUCUGUGUCGCUCAGCCAGUUGCUGUCCCCGGCGUAGUGGGUGGGAUAAACCAGGAGUGGGUGAGCCGAAAACACCUGCAGGUCCCGUGGGGCAAAGUGCCUCUUGUAGUCCUCGUUGGGGUGCUUGUCGUACAUGAUGGGCAGGAACUCAUCCACAGGCAGCAUUUUGGAGAGGGGCUUGGCAGCCAGCAGCUUCUGGGCGCCACGGAGGGAGAUGGCGUACGCCAGCGUCCAGUAGGAAUACCCGGCUACCACCAGGUUCUGG
rnacentral:lncRNA from 1 species